GAUGAACGCUGGCGGCGUGCCUAAUACAUGCAAGUCGAGCGAACAGAUGAGGAGCUUGCUCCUCUGACGUUAGCGGCGGACGGGUGAGUAACACGUGGAUAACCUACCUAUAAGACUGGGAUAACUUCGGGAAACCGGAGCUAAUACCGGAUAAUAUAUUGAACCGCAUGGUUCAAUAGUGAAAGACGGUUUUGCUGUCACUUAUAGAUGGAUCCGCGCCGCAUUAGCUAGUUGGUAAGGUAACGGCUUACCAAGGCAACGAUGCGUAGCCGACCUGAGAGGGUGAUAGGCCCCCAGGGAACUGGAACACGGUCCAGACUCCUACGGGAGGCAGCAGUAGGGAAUCUUCCGCAAUGGGCGAAAGCCUGACGGAGCAACGCCGCGUGAGAGAUGAAGGUCUUCGGAUCGUAAAACUCUGUUAUUAGGGAAGAACAAAUGUGUAAGUAACUAUGCACGUCUUGACGGUACCUAAUCAGAAAGCCACGGCUAACUACGUG
rnacentral:rRNA from 1 species